rnacentral:lncRNA from 1 species
UGUACUAUAGUUAGUUAACUAUGUAUCAUAUUAAUUUAACUGUGUGCAGUAUUCAUUUAACUGUGUACAGUAUUUAUUUAGCUGUAUAUCAUAUUAAUUUAACUAUAUAUCAUGUUUAGUUAACUGUAUACUAUGUUAAUUUAACUGUACACAUUAUUUAUUUAACUCUGUACAGUAUUCAUUUAAUUAUGUACCAUAUUCAUUUAACUAUAUAUCAUAUUUAGUUAACUGUGUAUCUAUUAAUUUAACUGUGUACCAUAGUUAGUUAACUG